UCCUCUGCUGUCUGUGUGUGGUUAUUUUUUACAUAUUUUACACAAUUCCUCUCACAAAUAUUUCAUCUCUUUUUCAAGUGGCAGGUCUGAUCAGAGUGAACUUGCUCUCAAGCCACAGGUGAAAACUAUGCAGAAAUUCAAGUCUAGAAUUUAAAUCACUUGCUUGGGGCUUCAAAUGUUGUAAGUAUUGGUGCUGAGAUUUAGACUUGGAUCUUUCUCUAUUUUCAAUUCUAUUUUCACUCUCCCACACUAUAUAACCUUGAAAUACUAGAAUCCUUUAAUUCACCUUGAUUCUUCUC
rnacentral:lncRNA from 1 species